UACGGAGGGUGCAAGCGUUGUUCGGAAUUACUGGGCGUAAAGGGCGUGUAGGCGGUGGGGUAUGUCAGAUGUGAAAGCCCUGGGCUUAACCCAGGAAGUGCAUUUGAAACUGCCAUGCUUGAGUAUGGGAGAGGAGAGUGGAAUUCCCAGUGUAGAGGUGAAAUUCGUAGAUAUUGGGAGGAACACCCGUGGCGAAGGCGACUCUCUGGACCAAUACUGACGCUGAGGCGCGAAAGCGUGGGGAGCAAACAGU
rnacentral:rRNA from 1 species